AAAAGAACACAAUUUUCAUCUUUUAACAGCAAAUCUCUCUUCUAAUCUAUUUUCUGUGUUUUAACUUUAUAUAUUAAACAGAAAAUGGGUUAUUUCAUUAUUGAUUUCUCAUUACAAGGCAAAGUUUACAAUGAAUUACCCUUCAAUUAGAGAUAAAAAAAAGUAAGGAAAAACUUGAUUUCAUGAUCAACCAUACAUAAAGAAAGGUUCAAGUUUCAACUUUUAAUGAAUAGGAUUAUUAGAGUUACCUGAAAGUUAUAAAAAUCAAAACACCCUUUUGUAAUUAUUAGUUAAAGUUCAAUUCUCCUCCAUUCAUUCAAUAUGAUUGUAACAGUUAAUCCUUACUUUCA